rnacentral:piRNA from 1 species
GAGUUGGUGGAGAAAGGAAGACAGCAGAA